UACGGGGGGGGCAAGCGUUGUUCGGAAUUACUGGGCGUAAAGGGCUCGUAGGCGGCCAACUAAGUCGGACGUGAAAUCCCUCGGCUCAACUGAGGAACUGCACGGGAUACUGGAAGACUUGAGUUCGGGAGAGGGAAGCGGAAUUCCGGGUGUAGCGGUGAAAUGCGUAGAUAUCCGGAGGAACACCGGUGGCGAAGGCGGCUUCCUGGACCGAUUACUGACGCUGAGGCGCGAAAGCGUGGGGAGCAAACAGG
rnacentral:rRNA from 1 species